rnacentral:tRNA from 1 species
GGGAAUGUGGCUUAGUGGUAGAGUGCUUGCCUAGCAUGCAUGAAGUCCUGGGUUCGAUUCCUCAGUACUG